rnacentral:lncRNA from 10 species
AUGAAUAUUAGUAUAUUCUAAAGCAAUAAAAGUAGAUAUUUAAAAAAUCUGAAAGGUUUUCUAUUGCAUUAAGACUUAAAAUUGUUAAAUUGUGAUGGCCUUAAUUAUUUUAUUCUUAAUGUCUUAAUUUUAUAAAUGUUUUCUCAUAAAUUGAUAUAAGCAGUUCUUGAUCUGGCAGCAGAUUCUUUGAAUUCUGUUACUUAUUUAUUAAUAAAUGUACUACCUUCUCUGGGCAUACAUGGUUAUCAUGGAUUAGAUAGCAAAUUUAGAGGGUUUGCCUUCCUAAAUUAAUGCUUUGUAUUCAUCUGAUUGUGAUGAAGAACAUUCCACUACCUCAGGGUGGUAUGGCCAUAUAAGUAAAUACUGACAGUGAUGAGCAAAGUUUUGGAAUUGGACAGUUUAAUAGAUUUCUUAUCUACUUUGGGGUCAUGUUUUCUUAUUUUUGUGUUUGAAUGGUGAAUUCAAACACUUGUAUCCAGAAGAAUUCUAAGGCAAAAUUUAAGUGCUUUAAAAAUUUUGCUUUCCUUUAUAUAGUGUUUUCUUUUACUAGCCUUAUAACUCAUGAUGACCAUGCCCUCAAUAAUUGUGGAAUUUUUUUUUUUGUUCUUAUGAGAUUAGGUAUUGGAGUUUUUAGGGGUGAAGUGUCAUGUGUCUAUAGCUUUUCACUUGGCUUGGGAGAAAGUACAAGUUCAUAUAACUGCAUAUAUAUGUAUAGGUAUGUGUGUAUAUACACUCACACAAAGAAACUAGGUAAAGUUUAUACCAGAACAUAUUGUGCUUUUCAACAUUUCUUUAAGGAGUAGGGAGAUUCCAUUUCUCACCUGUAAGAUUGGCAAACACCUCAAGGCAAUACAUACAGUUGAGAAGACUUUGGGGAAAAUAGGCAAACAUGCAGUGCUAUGGGGAUGCAAAGUGGCAUAAUCUUUGAGGAAGGUAGUUUAGCAGUAUCUGCAAAAGGACCUAUGCAUUUAUCCUUUGACUCAGCAAUUGCACUUCGAGAAAGCUAUUCCAAAGAUACGGUGGGCAAAAAUAUAAAAAUGUGUGUUUCAGGCUAUUCGUUGCAUUGUUAUCUGUAAUAGUAGAAGAUUAGAAACAACCCAGAUGGUACAUCUACACACACUGGAGGAAGAUGCAAUUGUUAAAAAUCAAAUGAGAAGGAUUUCUAUAUACUGAUAGGAAAAUAUCUCCAGGGUAUAUUUUUAAAAUAACAAAGCCAAAAAUACAUAUGUAAUAGAAUCCCAGGGCAUUUGACUGUUGAAGGAUGUGUUUAUACUGAUAGGGUGACUAAAAUAGUUUUUUAACUUAAAAAAGAAUGGAG